rnacentral:tRNA from 1 species
GGCUCCGUAGCUUGGAGGAAAGAAGCGCUAUCGAAUUGAGAGUCGUGGGUUCGACUCCCACCGGAGCAC